CCCCCCCCCCCCCCCCCCCCCCCCCCCCCCCCCCCCCCCCCCCCCCCCCCCCCCCCCCCCCCCCCCCCCCCCCCCCCCCCCCCCCCCCCCCCCCCCCCCCCCCCCCCCCCCCCCCCCCCGAAACUUCCCUUCCCUUCCCUUCCCUUCCCUGUCCCAACUUGCCUUCUUAACUUUUUUUGUAAUCCUUCCCUUGUUUUACAUCCAAUUGCUCCAAAAUUUCUCUUGUGACUGUUUGGCCAUUUAUUCCCAUUUAAUCUUUAAUUCCCUUGGUUAUCACUUCGCAUCACUUACAGUCUUUUCUGCAGAUGAAUCCUUUAUUUGGCUGGGGGACUAUGAAUUCUGGCUGUCACCUGCUGAGUGGCUCCAGCAAGCCAAAUUUAUCCAGGCACGAAUCAGGCCAGGUGAAACCACAUUGGGCAACUCAACCAAGUCAUGCUGUGACUACCACUGUCAGGAACAUUUUCAUCCCUUCAUAGAUCAGUAUAAAGCAUACUCUGCUGUGCAAUAUGAAGAGCAACUUGUUACACCUGAAAGUUUUGCAUUUGAGUUGGCAUCCAACAAAAAAGCAAAGUGCAGACCAAGCAAACCACAGCCCAUAAAGUCUUGGAAAGGCAGGCUCCAGUUCUUUAGAUAUAUGUUUGGCUUUAGAGGCUAGAGAAUUCUUUGGAGUACAUAAUCCUUUAGCUACAAAAAUACUAAUAAAUACUCAAGUCAAAGUGAGUAAAAGCCUUCUCCUUUCUUCCAAAGUUUGCUCAGUGUUGUCACAAGAGCAAAUACCAAAAAAAAAAAAAAAAGCGAAAGUUGCAUAUACCAAAAAGUUACUAAUUUUCAGUGUCCUUUACUGCUUUUCUCUGGGUUAAAAGCAGCAAGGUAUUGUCAGAGCUAAUACAAUAAACAGUCAAACUCAAGGA
rnacentral:lncRNA from 1 species